CUGAGAAUACGCCCUAUUGACUGUGCUUGGCUGAGACAGAUGCAUCAUGGGAUCGUAUGCAAAAUCAGCUGACCUCAGGACUGAAAACAUGGAAGCCUGAUGAUAAAGUGUUGGCUACAGUCAACGACUCAUGUCAUCUGUGCACUGGAGAAUCCACCACCACAUGGCUGUUGCCAUGGACACCGGUGUGCAAAGCAGGCCAGCAGGAGGGAAGUGGGUCUGUGGAGCUCAGAGUGAGAUGACACACUGCAGCCAAACACGUGCCGCAGAGCUCAGAUGGACUGGGAGGAAAACACACGGCAGCUCAGAGAGAAGCCGCCAUGACGGAAACACGGCUGAGCUCAGUAUUGUACUGCAGUGCGGUCGUGGAUCCUGUCGUAUAUGAUAAUAAAAAUGCACACUGCUAAAUAUGAACAGAUUAAGUAUUCCUUAAUUGGCAGAUUAAGGAAUCUAAUUGGAUUGUCAAAGACAAUAAGGGAAUCAGUGAGUGAUUGUGCCAAGGCAUAUUAAAAGGAGUUGAAAGCCUCACAAUCACCCUAGUGGACACACAUAUUUUGGCCCUGUCCACAUGGAAAUGGAACAAAAUGUCAAAAAUCUUUAUCUUUCUAUUCCUCACCAACAGUUCGCUUGACGGGCUUCAAACUUGGCAGGUGACUUACUGAGUGUUUGGAUAAGAAAUGAAGAGAGCCAUAGAAAUGGCUAAAAGAGUCACUCCCACACUGUCUCACACAGCGUGUUCUACAUCAGCUCGAACAGAAACAACUGUCAGAGUGUGCGUUUUGUGUUUUAAAGCAAACAGCUUGAGGAAGGCUCCAGCCGCAUAAACCCAAUGCCAUCCAAACCAAAGAAGGAGGAGGAAUCUUCAGGAGCAGUUUGUUACAAGUGACUGGACUUGUUUUGUCAAGGACCUUCACAGACAAAAUAGUGGGAGAGAGAGAGAGUGAUUUGUGAAAAGGUGU